AGUGAACGCUGGCGGUAGGCCUAACACAUGCAAGUCGAACGGCAGCACAGUAAGAGCUUGCUCUUAUGGGUGGCGAGUGGCGGACGGGUGAGGAAUACAUCGGAAUCUACUUUUUCGUGGGGGAUAACGUAGGGAAACUUACGCUAAUACCGCAUACGACCUACGGGUGAAAGCAGGGGAUCUUCGGACCUUGCGCGAUUGAAUGAGCCGAUGUCGGAUUAGCUAGUUGGCGGGGUAAAGGCCCACCAAGGCGACGAUCCGUAGCUGGUCUGAGAGGAUGAUCAGCCACACUGGAACUGAGACACGGUCCAGACUCCUACAGGAGGCAGCAGUGGGGAAUAUUGGACAAUGGGCGCAAGCCUGAUCCAGCCAUACCGCGUGGGUGAAGAAGGCCUUCGGGUUGUAAAGCCCUUUUGUUGGGAAAGAAAAGCAGCAGGUUAAUACCCCGCUGUUCUGACGGUACCCAAAGAAUAAGCACCGGCUAACUUCGUG
rnacentral:rRNA from 1 species